GACAGAGGAUGCAAGCGUUAUCCGGAAUGAUUGGGCGUAAAGCGUCUGUAGGUGGCUUUUUAAGUCCGCCGUCAAAUCCCAGGGCUCAACCCUGGACAGGCGGUGGAAACUACCAAGCUGGAGUACGGUAGGGGCAGAGGGAAUUCCGGUGGAGCGGUGAAAUGCGUUGAGAUCGGAAGGAACGCCCGUGGCGAAAGCGAGGUCCUGGACGCCAGUCUGACGCUGAGACGCGAAAGCCAGGGGAGCGAA
rnacentral:rRNA from 1 species